rnacentral:rRNA from 1 species
AAGAGACAGCAGCAGCCGCGGGAAAACGGAGGGUGCAAGCGUUAAUCGGAAUUACUGGGCGUAAAGCGCACGCAGGCGGUCUGACAAGUCAGAUGUGAAAUCCCCGGGCUUAACCUGGGAACUGCAUUUGAAACUGUCAGGCUGGAGUCUUGUAGAGGGGGGUGGAAUUCCAGGUGUAGCGGUGAAAUGCGUAGAGAUCUGGAGGAAUACCGGUGGCGAAGGCGGCCCCCUGGACAAAGACUGACGCUCAGGUGCGAAAGCGUGGGGAGCAAACAGGAUUAGAUACCCCUGUAGUCCCUGUCUCUUAUAC